CAUGCGGAGCUUACCAUGCAAGUCGAGGGGCAGCACGGGUAGCAAUACUUGGUGGCGACCGGCGCAAGGGUGCGUAACGCGUGAGCAACAUGCCCGUAUCAGGGGGAUAAUCCAGGGAAACUUGGUCUAAUACCCCAUAGUAAUUUCGUAAGGCAUCUUAUGGGAUUUAAAGCUUUGGUGGAUACGGAUUGGCUCGCGUGACAUUAGCUGGAUGGUAAGGUAACGGCUUACCAUGGCUAUGAUGUCUAGGGGUUCUGAGAGGAAGGUCCCCCACACUGGAACUGAGACACGGUCCAGACUCCUACGGGAGGCAGCAGUGAGGAAUAUUGGACAAUGGAUGGAAAUCUGAUCCAGCCAUGCCGCGUGAAGGAAGAAUGUCCUAUGGAUUGUAAACUUCUUUUGUAUGGGAGCAAUAAGGUCUUCGUGAAGACUGAUGAGAGUACCAUACGAAUAAGCAUCGGCUAACUCCGUGCCAGCAGCCGCGGUAAUACGGAGGAUGCGAGCGUUAUCCGGAUUUAUUGGGUUUAAAGGGUGCGUAGGCUGUUAUAUAAGUCAGUGGUGAAAUAUUCGGGCUCAACCGGGAUACUGCCAUUGAUACUGUAUAGCUGGAAUAUGGUUGCUGUGGGUGGAAUGUGUGGUGUAGCGGUGAAAUGCAUAGAUAUCACACAGAAUAUCGAUUGCGAAGGCAACUCACAAAGCCAUUAUUGACGCUGAUGCACGAAAGUGUGGGGAUCAAACAGGAUUAGAUACCCUGGUAGUCCACACUGUAACGAUGAUAACUAGCUGUCGGCGAUAGAUAGUCGUGGCUAGCGAAAGCGAU
rnacentral:rRNA from 1 species